UACGUAGGGGGCAAGCGUUGUCCGGAAUCAUUGGGCGUAAAGAGCGCGUAGGCGGCCCUGUAAGUCCGCUGUGAAAGUCAAGGGCUCAACCCUUGAAUGCCGGUGGAUACUGCAGGGCUAGAGUCCGGAAGAGGCGAGUGGAAUUCCCGGUGUAGCGGUGAAAUGCGUAGAUAUCUGGAGGAAUACCGGUGGCGAAGGCGGCAUCCUGGACCGACAUUGACGCUGAAAACCGAAAGCUAGGGGAGCAACGGG
rnacentral:rRNA from 1 species